UACGUAGGGUGCGAGCGUUGUCCGGAAUUAUUGGGCGUAAAGAGCUCGUAGGCGGUCUGUCGCGUCGAUCGUGAAAACUUGGGGCUUAACCCUGAGCUUGCGGUCGAUACGGGCAUGACUGGAGUUCGGCAGGGGAGACUGGAAUUCCUGGUGUAGCGGUGAAAUGCGCAGAUAUCAGGAGGAACACCGGUGGCGAAGGCGGGUCUCUAGUACGGUACUGACGCUGAGACGCGAAAGCGUGGGGAGCUAACAGG
rnacentral:rRNA from 1 species